GAUGAACGCUGGCGGCGUGCCUAAUACAUGCAAGUCGAGCGAACGGACGAGAAGCUUGCUUCUCUGAUGUUAGCGGCGGAAGGGUGAGUAACAUGUGGAUAACCUACCUAUAAGACUGGGAUAACUUCGGGAAACCGUAGCUAAUACCGGAUAAUAUUUUGAACCGCAUGGUUCAAAAGUGAAAGACGGUCUUGCUGUCACUUAUAGAUGGAUCCGCGCUGCAUUAGCUAGUUGGUAAGGUAACGGCUUACCAAGGCAACGAUGCAUAGCCGACCUGAGAGGGUGAUCGGCCACACUGGAACGGAGACACGGUCCAGACUCCUACGGGAGGCAGCAGUAGGGAAUCUUCCGCAAUGGGCGGAAGCCUGACGGAGCAACGCCGCGUGAGUGAUGAAGGUCUUCGGAUCGUAAAACUCUGUUAUUAGGGAAGAACAUAUGUUUAAGUAGCUGUGCACAUCUUGACGGUACCUAAUCAGAAAGCCACGGCUAACUACGUG
rnacentral:rRNA from 1 species